GUACUUUUCUCGGCCUUUUGGCUAAGAUCAGUGUAGUAUUUAUUCUUAUCAAUUUAAUAUAUUAUAUGUGGGUCAAUGGCCUAUACGAUAUUAAAUUUAUUUUUUGAGGGUAGGACUUAUCACAGCAGGUUGCUUACUGGGGUUCUCGAGCGUCGCCUAAGCGUUACACUAAAGCUUGGGCCUGGCGCACCCCAC